UCUCAAGAAUUCCACUCUAUUUAGGCCCACAUUUGAACGUCAGCUCUCUUAUUUUUCUUCCAUUUUUUUUCCUUUUUCUAUGUGGCUUGUCCUCCAUUGAGUCUCCUAAACUCUAGAACGCUGGAAGUGAUGGCUGUCUCUCAAAAUCUGACUCUUUGUGGCUUGGACUCCAUUUUUUUAAUGUAGUUAAUGGAGGUUCCAUGUUCUCUCACAUGCAUC
rnacentral:lncRNA from 1 species